rnacentral:rRNA from 2 species
UACGGGGGGGGCAAGCGUUGUUCGGAAUUACUGGGCGUAAAGGGCUCGUAGGCGGCCAACUAAGUCAGACGUGAAAUCCCCAGGCUCAACCUGGGAACUGCGUCUGAUACUGGAUGGCUUGAAUCCGGGAGAGGGAUGCAGAAUUCCAGGUGUAGCGGUGAAAUGCGUAGAUAUCUGGAGGAAUACCGGUGGCGAAGGCGGCAUCCUGGACCGGCAUUGACGCUGAGGAGCGAAAGCUAGGGGAGCAAACGGG